UACGGAGGGUGCAAGCGUUAAUCGGAAUUACUGGGCGUAUAGCGUGCGCAGGCGGUUUUGUAAGACAGGUGUGAAAUCCCCGGGCUUAACCUGGGAACUGCAUUUGUGACUGCAAGGCUGGAGUGCGGCAGAGGGGGAUGGAAUUCCGCGUGUAGCAGUGAAAUGCGUAGAUAUGCGGAGGAACACCGAUGGCGAAGGCAAUCCCCUGGGCCUGCACUGACGCUCAUGCACGAAAGCGUGGGGAGCAAACAGG
rnacentral:rRNA from 1 species